AUAGCGUAUAUUAAAGUUGUUGUGGUUAAAAAGCUCGUAGUUGGAUCUCAGUUCGAGUCAGACGGUCCACUUGCCAGUGGUUACUGUCUGACUGAACACUUUAUCGAGUUGUCCUAUGGUGUUCUUAACCGAAUGUCAUAGGCGAUCGAUACGUUUACUUUGAAAAAAUUAGAGUGCUCAAAGCAGGCGUUACGCCCGAAUAAUGUUGCAUGGAAUAAUGGAAUAGGACCUCGGUUCUAUUUUGUUGGUCUUCGGAAUCUGAGGUAAUGAUUAAGAGGGACAGACGGGGGCAUUCGUAUUGCGACGCUAGAGGUGAAAUUCUUGGACCGUUGCAAGACGAA
rnacentral:rRNA from 1 species